rnacentral:rRNA from 1 species
AGCUCUAAAAGUGUAUAUUAAAGUUGUUGUGGUUAAAACGCUCGUAGUUGAUAAUGACUGUUUAAUUGUGUCACAAAAAAUCCAACAAGUCUAAGACUAUUGGAUGUCGGCAUAGUUUUUACAUAGGGCUUUAAAAUGUGUUGACCAACAUGUUUUGGGAUUUCUUUGAGAAAAACAAAGUGCUUGAAGCGGAUUUUAGUGAUGAAUGAUUGAGCAUGGUACAAGUCUGAAGGGGAUAGAAAUAUUGCUGGAGGAUGAUUAGAAGGAUUCGACGGGGUAAUAAAGAAAAUUGUGGGAGAGGUGAAAAUUCAUGAUCACAAUAAGAUUGUCUAGAGCGAAAGCAUUUUACCAGCACGGAUUC